rnacentral:rRNA from 1 species
UACGGAGGGGGCUAGCGUUAUCCGGAAUUACUGGGCGUAAAGAGUUGUCGUAGGUGGCAUCGUAAGCGGGUAGUCGAAAGCGUGUGGCUCAACCAUACUCACAUUAUCCGAACUGCGAAGCUAGAGGGCGAGAGAGGUUACUGGAAUUCUCAGUGUAGGAGUGAAAUCCGUAGAUAUUGGGAGGAACACCGAUGGCGUAGGCAGGUAACUGGCUCGGUCCCUGACACUAAGGCACGAAAGCGUGGGUAGCAAACGGG